CACGUAGGCGGAUUGUUAAGUCAGGGGUGAAAUCCCGGAGCUCAACUCCGGAACUGCCUUUGAUACUGGCAAUCUUGAGGCUGGAAGAGGUUAGUGGAAUUCCCAGUGUAGAGGUGAAAUUCGUAGAUAUUGGGAAGAACACCAGUGGCGAAGGCGGCUAACUGGUCCAGAUCUGACGCUGAGGUGCGAAAGCGUGGGGAGCAAACA
rnacentral:rRNA from 1 species